rnacentral:rRNA from 1 species
GGCUUCCUACGGGACGCAGCAGUGGGGAAUAUUGCACAAUGGGGGAAACCCUGAUGCAGCGACGCCGCGUGAGCGAUGAAGUAUUUCGGUAUGUAAAGCUCUAUCAGCAGGGAAGAAAAUGACGGUACCUGACUAAGAAGCCCCGGCUAACUACGUGCCAGCAGCCGCGGUAAUACGUAGGGGGCGAGCGUUAUCCGGAUUUACUGGGUGUAAAGGGAGCGUAGACGGUCCUGCAAGCCAGAUGUGAAAGCCCGGGGCUCAACCCCGGGACUGCAUUUGGAACUGUAAGGCUAGAGUAUCGGAGG